rnacentral:misc_RNA from 1 species
UUUCCGUAGGUGAACCUGCGGAAGGAUCAUUCAUAAUAAAGUGUUUUAUGGCACUUUUUAAAAAUCCUUAUCCACCCUGUGUGCAAUGUUAGAUCUCGUCAAUCUUGGCGAGAUUUUUAUACAUCAACUCAUUUUUUAACUAAUUUGUCUGAAAAAUAUUAUGAAUACUUAAUUCAAAAUACAACUUUCAACAACGGAUCUCUUGGCUCUC